GUGCCACCAGUUUUGCUAAACUUGGCUGAUGGAUUAGCAUCCUCGCUAACCCUGGCUGUUCACCUUCCAGCUAAAUAAGGGUAGUGACAUUAUAGCUGGACGUGGUGAUGACUUUCAGAGGCAGGUGAAAAGCCUGGCUGAAAUGCAGUUCAGUCUACCAGUAUGUUGUCACGUCCUGACCUUAGAUAUCUCUGUUUUCUUUAUAUUUUUUGGUUAGGUCAGGGUGUGACUAGGGUGGGUACGCUCGUUUUUCCAGUGCCUAGGGUUUUUGUAUCGUCUAGGGUUUUUUGUAUGUCUAGAGUGUUUUGUAGGUCUAUGGUGGCCUGAUAUGGUUCCCAAUCAGAGACAGCUGUUUAUCGUUGUCUCUGAUUUGGGGAUCAUAUUUAGGCAGCCAUUUCACCUUUGGUGUUUGUGGGUUCUUGUUCUAUGUUUAGUUCCCUGUCUGCACUAUUCAUGUAGCUUCACGGUUCCUUUUGUUAUUUUGUUAUUUUGUUAGUUUGUUCAGUGUUUCAUUCUUUAAAUAAAGAAUAAUGAACGCCCACCACGCUGCACCCUGGUCUCCUUCGUACAACGAACGUGACAUAUGUGUACAGGAGGAGGGCUUGAAUGCCAAUCCUAUAUCGUACACUUGUAAUACUAAAUAUGAGGUCCUAUUGUAUGAUACCUUUUGUAACAGAUACAUUGAUCUUUUACCACACAGUGUUCAAACACUGGUGUAGGAUACUAGUAUCUGUCUUCACUUGCAUUGAUCUCAAUGGGAGACGAGAUGAAAAUAGUAGAGAGGUUAGAGAGCACGGUAGAGAGGUUAGAGAGCACGGUAGAGAGGUUAGAGAGCACGGUAGAGAGGUUAGAGAGCACGGUAGAGAGGUUAGAGAGCACGGUAGAGAGGUUAGAGAGCACGGUAGAGAGGUUAGAGAGCACGGUAGAGAGGUUAGAGAGCACGGUAGAGAGGUUAGAGAGCACGGUAGAGAGGUUAGAGAGCACGGUAGAGAGGUUAGAGAGCACGGUAGAGAGGUUAGAGAGCACGGUAGAGAGGUUAGAGAGCACGGUAGAGAGGUUAGAGAGCACGGUAGAGAGGUUAGAGAGCACGGUAGAGAGGUUAGAGAGCACGGUAGAGAGGUUAGAGAGCACGGUAGAGAGGUUAGAGAGCACGGUAGAGAGGUUAGAGAGGUAGCGACAGUGUUCUUUGGCUAUUUAAACUGUCGAUGCAACCGUCAGUUCAGUGUGUGUAGACACACACCACACAUACACCAUCUGGGCUCAGUAUUUUAUGGAUUCCAUUUAUUCCGCAUUGUUUAUUUGUUAAAUGUGUGAAAAUGUUAAAUAUUCACUGUACGCGGUACGCUGUACAGACCUGGGUUCACGUUCUAGUUGAAAUAUUUUUGCCUGUUGCAUUGGAACCAAUAGAAAGGUCCUCAAAAGUGCAAACCCUUCUCUGCAACUCCAGGCAGGCUAAAACAAACGCUCAAAGUAUUUUAAAGAUGUCAAAU